rnacentral:lncRNA from 1 species
AUGCCUUUCUGUUAAACCAUUUGUCGGCUGGUGAAUGCACUGGACCCUGGUACUGCCAAGAGUCCCCAGAACUGAAUAUGCACCAAAUUCUGCCGUGUAGUAAAUCCUUCUUAACUGACUUUCCCUUCUGGCCUUCAAAACGCACCUCCCAAGCCCAGAAUUCUAUCAACAUUGACCGAUUGUGGUUUCUGCUUGUAGCUAUUGUGCUUCUCCAUGCCUUUAGAUAGCUCUGUGCAAACAGCCUUUAUUAGCUUUGCCACAGAGUAUCUUUUGUGGGCUGCCCCAUACAUUUCUCCAGAUAAACAUGUGGGCUCAUACAAAACAAUUUAAUACAUUAACUGGCACCACCCAAAUAAAGACACUGCCACAAGCACGUACAAUCUAAAGUGACACACUUAAAUCAUCCUUAUAGGCAGAAAUGCGGCACCGUGGGUCCGAGGAGGCAGCCACAUUGGGACAAACAAGAAGUGUUUAAUGAUCUUAAGCCAAGGCCCGUAUGAUAUACAAUUAUAGAAGUUUUCAAUGUAUUCCAUCCCUUAACCCCAAUACUCCUGAGUCUUAAAGGAUGCAUAACUGUGAGGUAAGGGGGAGAGAUGGUGUCUUCUACAGAUCCGGUUGGUGGCAAAACGCUCCUCUGGCUGCCCUCUGGAGAGCCUUCUCUCCUGUUUCUGUCGACAAAUCACAAUACCAGUUCCUCUUUCCCUGGCAGGCCCACACCUGGAUGGAUUUGGACUGGCCAUUGUGCUUCUUGGAUUGACAAAAGCUACAAGGAAGAAACUCUAGAGAAAUCUGAGGGAGAGAAGUAAUCCCAGAAACAUCUGAGAUGCAAGAGGAGUGGUGAGCAGAGAAAAAAAGUGUUCCAGUGACCACCUAAUUCAGAUGAAAACUUCAUGAAGCUGAGGCAAAAUCGCUCUUACUUUGAAGCACUUUGUUCAAUGACAUGUCCUUGAUUUAUCAUUAAGUGCUAGCUCUGUAAACGCAUAUGAUGAGUGCAUCUCAAAUGCAAUUCCAAUAUCCAAUUCCAGGUUCUCAGUGUCUAGGACACCCAACAGACCCCACAAGAUAUUACCUAGCUCUGGCUUGUGCUCUGGGAACAUGCUACUUCAAAAUGUUGCAUGCUCAUCUCUCAAACUGUGAGAUCCUUAAGAGCAAUGACUAUGAAGUAUCUAACAGUGACUAAUAGCCUAAUGUUUGAUGGGCAUUUAUUAACAUUGAAUCAAUUAAUU